GCCAGACUCCUACGGGAGGCAGCAGUGGGGGAUAUUGCACAAUGGGGGAAACCCUGAUGCAGCGACGCCGCGUGAGUGAAGAAGUAUUUCGGUAUGUAAAGCUCUAUCAGCAGGGAAGAAAAAAGACGGUACCUGACUAAGAAGCCCCGGCUAACUACGUGCCAGCAGCCGCGGUAAUACGUAGGGGGCAAGCGUUAUCCGGAUUUACUGGGUGUAAAGGGAGCGUAGACGGCAAUACAAGUCGGAGGUGAAAUACCCGGGCUCAACCUGGGAACUGCUUUGGAAACUGUAUGGCUGGAGUGCUGGAGAGGUAAGCGGAAUUCCUAGUGUAGCGGUGAAAUGCGUAGAUAUUAGGAGGAACACCAGUGGCGAAGGCGGCUUACUGGACUGUAAAUGACGCUGAGGCUCGAAAGCGUGGGGAGCAAACAGGAUUAGAUACCCCGGUAC
rnacentral:rRNA from 1 species